rnacentral:rRNA from 1 species
CUACGGGCCGCUGCAGUGGGGAAUAUUGCACAAUGGAGGAAACUCUGAUGCAGCAACGCCGCGUGGAGGAUGACACUUUUCGGAGCGUAAACUCCUUUUAUAUAGGAAGAAGAUGACGGUACUAUAUGAAUAAGCGCCGGCUAACCCCGUGCCAGCAGCCGCGGUAAUACGGAGGGCGCAAGCGUUACUCGGAAUCACUGGGCGUAAAGAGCGUGUAGGCGGAUUAAAAAGUCAGAAGUGAAAUCCUAUAGCUUAACUAUAGAACUGCUUCUGAAACUCUUAAUCUAGAAUAUGGGAGAGGUAGAUGGAAUUUCUGGUGUAGGGGUAAAAUCCGUAGAGAUCAGAAGGAAUACCGAUUGCGAAGGCGAUCUACUAGAACAUUAUUGACGCUGAGGCGCGAAAGCGUGGGGAGCAAACAGGAUUAGAUACCCGUGUAGUC